CCUACGGGUGGCAGCAGUGGGGAAUAUUGCACAAUGGGGGAAACCCUGAUGCAGCGACGCCGCGUGAGUGAAGAAGUAUUUCGGUAUGUAAAGCUCUAUUAGCAGGGAAGAAAAUGACGGUACGUAACUAAGAAGCCUUGGCUAACUCCGUGCCAGCAGCCGCGGUAAUACGUAGGGGGCAAGAGUUAUCCGGAGUUACUGGGUGUAAAGGGGGCGCAGGCGGCGAUGCAAGCCAGGAGUGAAAGCCCGGGGCGCAACCCCGGGACUGCACUUGGUACUGCGAUGCUAGAGUGCAGGAGGGGCAGGCGGAAUUCCUGGUGUAGCGGUGAAAUGCGUAGAUAUCAGGAGGAACACCGGUGGCGAAGGCGGCCUGCUGGACUGUAACUGACGUUGAGGCCCGAAAGCGUGGGGAGCAAACAGGAUUAGAUACCCGUGUAGUC
rnacentral:rRNA from 1 species